rnacentral:rRNA from 1 species
AUCAUCAGGGCUAUCUGCAGUCGAACGAACUCUGGUAUUGAUUGGUGCUUGCAUCAUGAUUUACAUUUGAGUGAGUGGCGAACUGGUGAGUAACACGUGGGAAACCUGCCCAGAAGCGGGGGAUAACACCUGGAAACAGAUGCUAAUACCGCAUAACAACUUGGACCGCAUGGUCCGAGUUUGAAAGAUGGCUUCGGCUAUCACUUUUGGAUGGUCCCGCGGCGUAUUAGCUAGAUGGUGGGGUAACGGCUCACCAUGGCAAUGAUACGUAGCCGACCUGAGAGGGUAAUCGGCCACAUUGGGACUGAGACACGGCCCAAACUCCUACGGGAGGCAGCAGUAGGGAAUCUUCCACAAUGGACGAAAGUCUGAUGGAGCAACGCCGCGUGAGUGAAGAAGGGUUUCGGCUCGUAAAACUCUGUUGUUAAAGAAGAACAUAUCUGAGAGUAACUGUUCAGGUAUUGACGGUAUUUAACCAGAAAGCCACGGCUAACUACGUGCCAGCAGCCGCGGUAAUACGUAGGUGGCAAGCGUUGUCCGGAUUUAUUGGGCGUAAAGCGAGCGCAGGCGGUUUUUUAAGUCUGAUGUGAAAGCCUUCGGCUCAACCGAAGAAGUGCAUCGGAAACUGGGAAACUUGAGUGCAGAAGAGGACAGUGGAACUCCAUGUGUAGCGGUGAAAUGCGUAGAUAUAUGGAAGAACACCAGUGGCGAAGGCGGCUGUCUGGUCUGUAACUGACGCUGAGGCUCGAAAGUAUGGGUAGCAAACAGGAUUAGAUACCCUGGUAGUCCAUACCGUAAACGAUGAAUGCUAAGUGUUGGAGGGUUUCCGCCCUUCAGUGCUGCAGCUAACGCAUUAAGCAUUCCGCCUGGGGAGUACGGCCGCAAGGCUGAAACUCAAAGGAAUUGACGGGGGGCCCGCACAAGCGGUGGAGCAUGUGGUUUAAUUCGAAGCUACGCGAAGAAACCUUACCAGGUCUUGACAUACUAUGCAAAUCUAAGAGAUUAGACGUUUCCCUUCGGGGACAUGGUAUACAGGGUGGUGCAUGAUUGUCGUCAGCUCGUGUCGUGAGAUGUUGGGUUAAGGUCCUGCACGAAGCGCAACCCUUUAUUAUCAGGCUGGCAGGCAAUGAGGUUGGGCACUCUGGAUGAAGAACUACCGGGUGA